GGUAAAUUUUACAGGUCUUCUAAACUUGUUUUGGGUUUUUCUCGUUUACUU
rnacentral:tRNA from 1 species